UACGGGGGGAGCGAACGUUGUUCGGAAUCACUGGGCGUAAAGGGCGUGUAGGCGGCUGAAUAAGUGGGAUGUUAAAUCCCCCGGCUCAACCGGGGACCUGCAUCUCAUACUGUUCAGCUCGAGCACAUCAGAGGAGACUGGAAUUCCCGGUGUAGCGGUGAAAUGCGUAGAUAUCGGAAGGAACAUCAGUGGCGAAAGCGACUUCCUGGACCAAUACUGACGCUCAUGUGCGAAAGCGUGGGGAGCAAACAGG
rnacentral:rRNA from 1 species